rnacentral:tRNA from 1 species
GGGCCUAUAGCUCAAGCGGCUAAGGCGCUGGCUACAUACACCAGAGCUGGCAGGUUCAAAUCCAGCUAGGUCCU